UACGUAGGGGGCAAGCGUUGUCCGGAUUUAUUGGGUGUAAAGCGCGUGUAGGCGGCCAGGUAGGUCGGUUGUGAAAAUUGGAGGCUCAACCUCCAGACGUCGAUCGAAACCAUCUGGCUAGAGUCCGGAAGAGGAGAAUGGAAUUCCUGGUGUAGCGGUGAAAUGCGCAGAUAUCAGGAAGAACACCGAUGGCGAAGGCAGUUCCUG
rnacentral:rRNA from 1 species